rnacentral:ncRNA from 2 species
AUGAUAUUUUCGGGAGAUAAUCUGAUGCUAUUGAAGCAAAGGGUAGCCGAAGAAGCAAGUGAUUGUUUAGCCAAACAAUCAUGAAACUCUCAGGCAAAAGGACCGCAAAUGGACA